rnacentral:rRNA from 1 species
UACGGGGGGAGCAAGCGUUGUUCGGAUUUACUGGGCGUAAAGGGCGCGUAGGCGGCUUGUCAAGUCAGGGGUGAAAUCCGGCAGCUUAACUGUCGAAGUGCCCUUGAUACUGAUGAGCUCGAGGGAGGUAGGGGUAUGCGGAACUUCCGGUGGAGCGGUGAAAUGCGUUGAUAUCGGAAGGAACGCCGGUGGCGAAAGCGGCGUACUGGACCUCUUCUGACGCUGAGGCGCGAAAGCUAGGGGAGCAAACGGG